rnacentral:rRNA from 1 species
CCUACGGGUGGCAGCAGUGAGGAAUAUUGGUCAAUGGCCGCAAGGCUGAACCAGCCAAGUCGCGUGAGGGAUGACGGUCCUAUGGAUUGUAAACCUCUUUUGUCAGGGAGCAAAGGGCGCCACGUGUGGCGUUUUGCGAGUACCUGAAGAAAAAGCAUCGGCUAACUCCGUGCCAGCAGCCGCGGUCAUACGUAGGAUCCGAGCAUUAUCCGGAGUGACUGGGUGUAAAGAGUUGCGUAGGUGGCAUAAUAAGUAGCUAGUGAAAGCUGGUGGCUCAACCAUUCAGACUAUUAGCUAAACUGUUAAGCGUGAGACCGUUAGGGGUAACUGGAAUGUCUAGUGUAGGAGUGAAAUCCGUAGAUAUUAGAAGGAACACCAAUAGCGUAGGCAGGUUACUGGGACGGUUCUGACACUAAGGCACGAAAGCGUAGGGAGCAAACGGGAUUAGAUACCCUUGUAGUC